rnacentral:rRNA from 1 species
UGGGGAAUAUUUCACAAUGGGCGCAAGCCUGAUGCAGCCAUGCCGCGUGUAUGAAGAAGGCCUUCGGGUUGUAAAGUACUUUCAGUCGGGAGGAAGGUGGUAAGGUUAAUAACCUUAUCAAUUGACGUUACCGACAGAAGAAGCACCGGCUAACUCCGUGCCAGCAGCCGCGGUAAUACGGAGGGUGCAAGCGUUAAUCGGAAUUACUGGGCGUAAAGCGCACGCAGGCGGUUGAUUGAGUCAGAUGUGAAAUCCCCGGGCUCAACCUGGGAACUGCAUCGGAUACUGGCAAGCUUGAGUCUCGUAGAGGGGGGUAGAAUUCCAGGUGUGGCGGUGAAAUGCGUAGAGAUCUGGAGGAAUACCGGUGGCGAAGGCGGCCCCCUGGACAAAGACUGACGCUCAGGUGCGAAAGCGUGGGGAGCAAACAGG